rnacentral:tRNA from 1 species
UGGAUAUUAGUUAAUAUUUAUAAUAAUUAAAUUGCAUUUAAUAGUAAUUUUAUAUAAUAUAUCUAA